UUCACUACUAGCUAGAUUAAUCUAGAGUAUUCUAAAUAAUACUAGGACAAGUAUGAGUAUUCUAGAGAUUAGAUAUUUUUCAUAUAGUAUCUAGAGAAUUCCUUAAGUAGAUGCUAGUAGAAAAUUCUAGAUACAAACUAAUGUAGUGGGAUCUAGAGAGAUCUUCCCACACCUAUAAAUAGAGCUCUUGUGAGCCAUUUGUAACCAAUCUCACAUAAUCUCAAACAUCUCAAAAACAUCACUCUAUCUAAUAUUAUCUAAGUUCUUUGGAGACAAGAGCUCCACUCUAAAAUCAUUAUCUCUAUCUUCUACACACACUACACUCACAAUAUUCUCUACACCACUUCACUACAAUCACUCACCACACUCAAACCUCUAUAUAAUCACCUCCAUUUUCUAACAAGUGGCAUCAGAGCUUGUUCGAUCAUAAGCGGGCGUUAUGGCGUCGUCAAGUCUCUCCAUCACGACUCCAAUAUUCAAUGGAGAAAACUAUGACUAUUGGAGUGUUCGUAUGAAGACUUGCCUUGAAUCCCAUGAUCUUUGGGAUGUCAUUGAAGAAGGAAUCACCAUGCCGGGAGAAGAUAUCGACAAGACAUCCUCAUCCGAGGUACGUAAGAAAUUAAAGCAACAAAAUGCUAAAGCUCUUUAUCUUCUCCAACAAUCUGUUAGUGAUUCUAUCAUGGCAAGAAUUAUUCGAGCCACUACUGCAAAAGAAGCUUGGGAUAUCCUUAAGGAGGAGUUCCAAGGAAAUGUUAAAGUUCGAACCAUUAAACUACAAAGUUUAAGGCGAGAACUAGAGAAUCUUAAAAUGAAAGAUUCAGAAGCCGCAAAAGAUUAUUUCUCAAGAAUAAUGGAAAUAAUCAAUCAAAUGCGGUCAUACGGAGAUAACAUCUCCGAUGAAAGGAUCAUACAGAAGGUCUUAAUCAGCCUUACCGAGAAGUAUGAUCCAGUAGUGGCGGCGAUUGAAGAAUCAAAAGAUUUAUCAAAAAUGUCUGUCGCGGAGCUGAUGGGUUCCUUGGAAGCACACGAGCAACGAUUGAGCAGGCGACAUGAAAGUUCACUAGAGAGUGCCUUUCAGUCCAAGCUCAACGUUAGAGGCAAUAAGUCAAGAAGCGGCGGAAAUUUUAAAAGCAAUCACAAGGAAGGAAGCUCCAGCAACAAGGAGAGCAAGGCAAAUUUUCCACCAUGUGGAAUUUGCAAGAAGACAAAUCACUUAGAGAAGGACUGCUAUCAUCGAGGAAAGCCACAGUGCAAAAACUGCAAAAGGUUCGGGCAUGUGGAAAAAGAUUGCAGAGAUAGAAGAAAUCAUCAAGCCAACUAUUCAGAAAAUCAAAAUGAGAAGGAGUACAUGUUCUAUGCAUGUCACUCGGCAACGGAAGCACGAGAAGAAGAAUGGUACAUCGAUAGCGGAUGCAGCAACCACAUGACAUCCAACGAGACCAUCUUCCGUGAGUUAGAUACUUCAGUCAAGACGAAGGUGAAGAUGGGCAAUGGAGAACUGGUGGAGACGAAAGGGAAAUGUACAAUUGCCAUAGAAACUAAUAAAGGUACGCGAUUUAUUAGAAAUGUUCUCCUAGUACCUCGUCUUGCACAAAGUCUAUUAAGUGUUGGCCAAAUGAUGGAAAGUGGAUAUGCCCUCCACUUUGAGAAAGAUUCUUGUCGAAUUUACGACAAGAAAAAUAACCAAGAUAUUGCAGUAGUAAAAAUGGGAAAAAAUAGAAACUUUCCCAUUCAAUGGCAAUAUCCACAAAAAGGCAAUGGUGGCUCAACUCGACGAUACGAGUCUAUGGCACCGGAGAUUUGGGCAUUUCAACCUAAAUGCCUUAAGGCUACUUCAUCAGAAAAAUAUGAUGAGAGACAUGCCUCUUCUAAAUGAAAGAGAAGGUGUAUGCGAAGGAUGCAUGAUCGGAAAGCAACACAGACAACCAUUUCCAACGGAGAAAACAUGGCGAGCCAAGGAGAUACUAGAGCUUGUCCACACCGACGUUUGCGGUCCAAUGCGCACACCUUCAGUAAACCAAAACAGGUACUUCAUCCUCUUUAUUGAUGACUACUCUAGAAUGACUUGGGUAUAUUUCCUCCAAGAAAAAUCAGAAGUCUUUAGAAUCUUCAAGAGAUUUAAGAACUUUGUGGAGAAACAAAGUGGUCGCAAAAUAAAGAAGCUAAGAAGCGAUCGAGGUACCGAAUACAACUCGAAAGAGUUCGACAAGUUCUGUGAAGAUGAAGGUGUGGAGCAUCAACUAACGGUGGCCUACACUCCACAACAAAACGGCGUGUCGGAAAGAAAGAAUCGAACAGUCAUGGAGAUGGCGAGAUCCAUGCUGGCGGAGAAAGGAUUGCCAAAGAAGUUUUGGGCAGAGGCAGUGUAUACAUCAGUCUACCUACUCAACCGAUGUCCAACAAAGGCCGUGCUAAACAAGACGCCGAUCGAAGCUUGGUCAGGACAAAAGCCUUCAGCCAAACAUUUGAGGGUCUUUGGAAGUAUCUGCUACAUCCACAUUCCCUCAGUAAAAAGACACAAACUGGAGGACAAGACGGAGAAGGGAAUCUUCCUCGGCUACAGCUCUAAAUCCAAGGGGUAUAGAAUCUACAAUCUUGAGACCAAGAAGUUGGUGACAAGUCGAGACGUGGAAUUUGACGAACAAGCCUCCUGGAAUUGGGAGACAGAAAGUGUUGAAAGGCGGACAACAACUACACUCCUAAAAGAAGUCACAGAACAUGGAGAACAAGAUCAACAAAGCCCACCAAGGUCCUCUUCAGAAGCCAAUACCUCAAGUGGAUCCGACUCAGACUCCUCACCAGACUUUCCACCUUUUCGGGUAAGAACUCUAGCAGAUUUAUAUGAAUCCACUGAUAUAUAUGAGACAUGCAACUUUUGUUCUUUGGAGCCAAAUAACUAUGCAGAAGCAUUGAUUUAUGCUUGAUUUACACUAUUUUUAGGGGUUUGUAUGUGCGUGUUUUAGGAUAAUCUUCUGGAAUUUGGUGCGUUUUAUGGUGUAUUCUAUGCUUUGCAGGAGAUUUAGGCUUACCAGAUGAAAAAAUGCAAUUUUGGAGAAUUUUGGAUUAAUUAGGCGUUUUCUAAGUGUUCUGGAAUGCCAGAGCAGAGGAAUCAAAAGCCAGUCCAGAGAAAUCCGCGGAAUAUCAGAGAAGCGGAGCCGACAUCUCCAGAGCAGAAAAUUCACCGUUCCUCUGGCAUCAGAGAAAUCAACUCGCCAGAGGAGUCUCUAGCCAGAGGAGUCGCGAAUCCAGAGAUAUCAAUGCCAGAGGCGAGACCAUUUCUCUGGCGAAGUCAGAGAAGUCAUAUCCAGCGAAGUCACAACCCAGAUCAGAGAAAUCGUCAAGAACAGAGAAGUGCCAGAAGAACCGAAGAUCAGAGAAGUCAUUGCAGAGGGAUCGAGUCCCCGCUGCCAGAGAAGUCAAUGUCAGAGGAGUCGCUUCCCCCGCUGACCAGAGAAACCGAAGUCAGCGGAAUCGAGAAGCCAGAGCAGAGGAAUUACCUAUUCCUCUGCCGAGAAGUGCCAGCAUCAGAGAAGUAAAGUUCAGCGCUCAGAGGCCAGAGAGAUCACCCGUUCCGCUGGCGACCCAUUCCGCUGAUGAAGUACCAGAGAUAUCACUCUUUCCUCUGGCGAUACCAAUCCUCUGGCGAUAGCAGAGAAUUCGUCAUUUCUCGGGCGCGACCCGUUUCCCGAGAGACAUCCGUUCCUCUGGCGAGAGCCGCGAAUUCGGCAAGAGUAGGAGAUUUUACGGAGCGAGCGUCCAGCUGGAGAGUUGCCUUAUUUCACACGAUUCUAUUACCUUUGGAAUUCUAUUUCCAUUAGAAUUAUACUUUGCAUGGCAACUUUCCAUGGUGAUCCGAAGGAAGUUUGAAGCCUAUAAAUAGGUCCUCUUUUGGCCUUUCAAGGACGACACAAUCAGACGGCAGACACCCAAGAACCCUAUCAUUCAUACUUUAGUUUUUAGCUUUAGAUUUUUAUUGUUUUUCUAGUUUUUAAGGCUUGGAUCAAGAUUGAAGAUUCAAGUCGCUACUUCAGUUUUUAUUCGGUUUUUAUACAUUCAGUUUUUACAAUUGCUUUCUCUUUAAUUUUGUUUAUGUUUUAUUUCAAUAUGUCUAGCUAGUUCUUUUAUUCUGAACCUAGGGUUUGUACAUAGCUAAUUAAUUAUGUGUUUUUGAUUUAUUGAUAUCAAUUUGCCCUCCAACUUAUGAUUCAUGAUUCCUGGUGCUUAAUCUCUUGUGAAUUAUCUGAUCAAUGAUUUACAUGUCUAGCUGUUCAGUUUGAGUCUUGAAUGCGAUAAUUGUUCAGCCGAUUCAGGAAUGCAUGAUAUAGUGUUAGCCUUGAGUCUUGAAUGCGAUAGGUGAAGCUAUAGGAAGCUAUUCUUUAUGUGCUAUUGGGAGUUAAUUUAUUCCUUGGAGUCUUGAAUGUGAAAAGGGAUUAAUUAAUCUACGUUCAUAGGUGGUCGUUAGAGACGCUUGUGAAUAAUAUAGUGAUCUUUCAUCAGGGUUGGAUUAAAAUUGGUAAUUGAAUCAAUAGGUUGAAUGCAUAUAGUUGAUUAGUGAAAAUCAUCCCUAGGGUCAGAGCUUUCCAUUAUUUGUAAUUUAUCAUACGUUAUCUUCAUUAGUUUUAUUUGUAACUUUAAUUCUAACAAUCCCUACAUUUCGUUACCUGAAUAUUACGAGAGUCUAAGUAGGAAUACAUAGAGUAAUUCGUAUAACAGUCCCUGUGGAUACGAUACCCGAUUACUGUUUAUACUACAAUUACACCGUGUUAGUUGCCGUAAGUUGUUGCUAAUAAAAUAGUGAUCAANUUUCAUCAGGGUUGGAUUAAAAUUGGUAAUUGAAUCAAUAGGUUAAAUGCAUAUAGUUGAUUAGUGAAAGUACAUCCCUAGAGUCAGAGCUUUCCUUAUAUUUGAGUUAAUUAUCAUAGUUUACAUGCUCUUUAGUUUUAUUUGGUUAAAUUUAGUUCGAGUUUCACCUUCAUAAUUGUUUUGCCUGAAUAUUACUAAAAUUUAAUUAGGAUUACUUUGAGUGAUUCGUUAUAAUAGUCCCUGUGGAUACGAUACUCGGUUACUUUUUACUUGCUACAAUUGCCUGUGUUAGUUGCAGUAUUUGUUGCUAAGAAAUUAGUGAUCAAGCAUCCAAAGAGAAAGUUUGGAUUAAAGCAAUGGAGGAGGAGAUAAAAAUGAUAGAAAAGAAUGAUACUUGGGAGUUGGUGGAUCUUCCAAGUGACAAGGAAGUCAUUGGAGUCAAAUGGGUGUUCAAGACAAAGCUGAAUCCUGAUGGUUCGAUCCAGAAGCAUAAGGCAAGACUUGUCGUCAAAGGAUAUGCUCAAAUACUAGGAGUCGACUACACAGAAACGUUUGCUCCAGUGGCCCGGAUGGACACAAUUCGAGCACUCAUAGCUCUAGCGGCUCAGAAGAAAUGGAAAAUCUAUCAGCUUGAUGUUAAGUCGGCAUUUCUCAACGGAGAUCUAAUAGACAAGAUAUAUGUGGAGCAGCCAGAAGGAUUCACAAAGCAAGAAGGCAAAGUUCUUCGUCUCAAGAAAGCACUCUAUGGACUCAAACAAGCGCCACGAGCCUGGUACAGCAAAUAGACGCAUAUUCACCGGUCAAGGAUUCAGGAGGAGCAAGAACGAAGCAACUCUAUACAUCAAACUCAAGGUACGGACAUCCUGAUUGUCUCUCUUUAUGUUGAUGACUUAAUUGUCACAGGAAAUAACAUAAAAUUGAUUGAGGAUUUCAAGAGAGACAUGAUGAGCACCUUUGAGAUGACGGACUUAGGAUUAAUGCACUAUUUUCUCGGAAUGGAGAUAAGUCAAGAGGAAGAAGGCAUCUUCCUAUCACAAAAGAAGUAUAUUGAAGAUAUGCUCAAGAAGUUCAAGAUGCAAGACUGCAAGCCAGUGGUUACACCUCUCAUUCCAAAUGAGAAGUUGAAGAAAGAAGAUGGGUCAAAACCGACGGAUUCUACAAACUAUCGAAGUUUGAUUGGGAGUCUACUAUAUUUGACGGCAACGAGGCCUGACAUCAAGUAUGCAACAAGCCUUCUAUCCAGAUUCAUGGAAAGUCCGAAGGAGACCCACUAUGGAGCAGCAAAGAGACUUCUCAGAUACCUGCAAGGUACGCUCAACUAUGGUAUCUGGUACAAACCAAAGUCUGACUCACAGAUCAGUGGAUAUAGCGAUAGCGAUUGGGCUGGAUCUCAAGAUGACAUGAAAAGCACAUCAGGCUAUGCUUUCAAGCUUGGCUCAGGAAUUUUUUCUUGGGGAUCAAAGAAGCAAGACUCAGUUGCACUAUCAACAGCAGAAGCUGAGUAUGUUGCAGCAGCCGAAGCAGCAUGUCAAGCUAUAUGGCUUAGAAGAAUACUAGCGGAUAUGGGCGAACCGCAAGACUCAUCGACAGAGAUCUACUGCGAUAACAAGUCAGCUAUAGCAAUGGCUAAGAAUCCAGUUCAGCACAAUCGCACCAAGCACAUCGACAUCAAGUAUCACUUCUUAAGAGAUGUUGAAGCAAAGAAACUUAUCGAGAUGAAGUAUUGUCCAACAGAAGAGCAGUUGGCGGACAUCUUCACAAAAGCACUACCAAGGGACAGAUUCCAGUUUCUACGAAGAAUGCUUGGAGUAACCGAUAAAUGCAUCAAGGAGGAGUAUUGAAGUGUGAUGCAUUUAUACUAGAAUAUUCUAGGUGAGAAUAAGCUAUGUAUAUUCUAGAGAAUUCACCACUAGCUAGAUCAAUCUAGAGUAUUCUAAAUAAUACUAGGACAAGUAUGGUAUUCUAGAGAAUAGAUAUUUUCCAUAUAGUAUCUAGAGAAUUCCUUAAGUAGAUGCUAGUAGAAAAUUCUAGAUACAAGCUAAAUGUAGUGGGAUCUAGAGAGAUCUUCCCACACCUAUAAAUAGAGCUCUUGUGAGCCAUUUGUAACCAAUCUCACAAAAUCUAAAACAUCUCAAAAACAUCACUCUAUCUAAUAUUAUCUAAGUUCUUUGGAGACAAGAGCUCCACUCUAAAAUCAUUAUCUCUAUCUUCU
rnacentral:lncRNA from 1 species